UCCACCGUGAGGUGGAAUCUGAAGGAAGCCGGCGGCAAAUCUCCGGUCUGAAGAACACGAACUUGUUCUUGUCCUCCGAAGCUGUCGGUGGACAAGAACAUAUAUCCUUAGCCGUAUUAGGACAAGAACAUGUAUCCAUAGCCGAUUAAAGUCUUCAUG
rnacentral:autocatalytically_spliced_intron from 1 species